AUUGAACGCUGGCGGCAGGCCUAACACAUGCAAGUCGAGCGGUAGCACAGGGAGCUUGCUCCUGGGUGACGAGCGGCGGACGGGUGAGUAAUGUCUGGGAAACUGCCUGAUGGAGGGGGAUAACUACUGGAAACGGUAGCUAAUACCGCAUAACGUCGCAAGACCAAAGAGGGGGACCUUCGGGCCUCUUGCCAUCAGAUGUGCCCAGAUGGGAUUAGCUAUUAGGUGGGGUAACGGCUCACCUAGGCGACGACCCCUAGCUGGUCUGAAAGGAUGACCAGCCACACUGGACCUGAGACACGGUCCAGACUCCUACGGGAGGCAGCAGUGGGGAAUAUUGCACAAUGGGCGCAAGCCUGAUGCAGCCAUGCCGCGUGUAUGAAGAAGGCCUUCGGGUUGUAAAGUACUUUCAGCGGGGAGGAAGGUGUUGAGGUUAAUAACCUCAGCAAUUGACGUUACCCGCAGAAGAAGCACCGGCUAACUCCGUGCCAGCAGCCGCGGUAA
rnacentral:rRNA from 1 species